UACGUAGGAGGCAAGCGUUGUCCGGAAUUACUGGGCGUAAAGCGCGUGUAGGUGGUGGGACAAGUCUGCUGUGAAAGCGCCUGGCUUAACCGGGCGAGGUCGGCGGAAACUGUCCGACUUGAGGACGGUAGAGGGGGGUGGAAUUCCCGGUGUAGUGGUGAAAUGCGUAGAGAUCGGGAGGAACACCCGUGGCGAAGGCGGCUCUCUGGGACGGUACUGACGCUGAGACGCGAAAGCGUGGGGAGCGAACAGGG
rnacentral:rRNA from 1 species